GUAUUUUUGGAGGAGACGGGAUUUUUUCUCCUUAGAAUAAUGUCAUUUCUACUUCAGCAAUUCCUCACACUGCAACUAGAAUAAUAUUGAUAUGAUACAAUGACCAACCCUCUUCCAAGUCAGAUGCUUGUCAAUGGCCCCCCAUUGCCCUCAAGAUAAUGUCUAAGCCUCCCUAACACGGCUAACAGACUUUUAAAACCUGUCACUUUCAGGACGCUGCUCACUCUUGCACACUAUUCUCAAGCCAUAUUCCAUUCCACGUAGUGCCCAUU